UUAGUACUUAAUAGUAAAUGCUCUGGCUUGAAUGGUUGAAAUGAAAUUACUCCUGGAAAUAAACAAAUGGGUAACAGAAUAUAUAUGAACCAUAUGGUACAGACUAGAUAACAGAUGUGCUUGUCCUGAUGAUGGGAAGUCAAAUUUUGUAAACUGAUGCUUUUUGAAAGCGUUCACUUUCAGUGAUGUAAUCACACGGUUUUCUGAGUACAUAUUUCCUUCAAAUAAGUCUUAUAUUGGCACUGAAAUCAAAAUAUGCUAGAAUAAG
rnacentral:misc_RNA from 1 species